rnacentral:lncRNA from 1 species
AGGGAACUCUGUAAAUAAACACUGCCUUGUCAGAAUUAUAGCACUCAUUAGUAAAAACUUCCUACUUACCAAUCUGCAAGAAAUGUAAGUUGACUUACUUUUUCAUUACCUGGCAAAUGCUUUUCACACUCCUGACUCAUCUUUGUUCUUUUCUUGGUACCAGCAAUGAAGUUAUACGUCCUGUGAAGUAAUAGACCGCAAAUUAUGCUUCAUUGCAUAAGCAAGUAACAGGAAAUGAAUUAUGAAGAACUCAGUCCUUGUUACGCAAGCUUCAACAAUCCUUAAUUCUGAGCAAGAAAAGAGCCAAUCAGUUGUAUAAGGUCCUAUGAACAAGCCUAACCUUGACAAAACCUUUGUGAUCCAAAUGAAAAAUGAAGACCACAGACUGCCUUGCCUGUAUUGUCACAAAUAGUUGGCAGACAUCUGAAGAAGAAGGUUGAGGAUAAUGAUUUGAAAUCACCUUCCAACUUCAGAUUCAACUGCUGGAUCUUACUUAUGAAAUAAAUGCUUUGCAUGGGAAAAUGUGUACUGACUA